AAAAGCUGUCAUAACAACAUAUGAAGGCAAGCAUAAUCAUGAUAUUCCUACUGUUAGUGUUAGGAAUAGAGGAACAAGGAAUAAAUACAGCUAAAGAUAGCGUUGAGAACGUAAGAAACAGUGUGAAGGCCUUCAGUUCACAAAAAUAUCUUGGUUUCUGAAAACAACAACAAAAUUCCCUCGUGUGAAAACUGAAAGAUUGCAGCAUUAGUAGCAUCAGGAAAAGUAGAAGGGUGAAAAGAUGUGGUUUGAGCUUCUUACUUCUGUACAAAAAGCUUAUUAUAUUAUCUAUUCCAUGUUGAAAACCACAUGCUUGGUCCCUUGAAUUUGUUGGUUGGUCUCAAGAAAUAUUUGUAAAUUUUAUUGCUAAUU
rnacentral:misc_RNA from 1 species